rnacentral:rRNA from 1 species
CCUACGGGAGGCAGCAGUAGGGAAUCUUCCACAAUGGGCGAAAGCCUGAUGGAGCAACGCCGCGUGGGUGAAGAAGGUCUUCGGAUCGUAAAACCCUGUUGUUAGAGAAGAAAGUGCGUGAGAGUAACUGUUCACGUUUCGACGGUAUCUAACCAGAAAGCCACGGCUAACUACGUGCCAGCAGCCGCGGUAAUACGUAGGUGGCAAGCGUUAUCCGGAUUUAUUGGGCGUAAAGGGAACGCAGGCGGUCUUUUAAGUCUGAUGUGAAAGCCUUCGGCUUAACCGGAGUAGUGCAUUGGAAACUGGGAGACUUGAGUGCAGAAGAGGAGAGUGGAACUCCAGGAGUAGCGGUGAAAUGCGUAGAUAUAUGGAAGAACAGCAGUGGCGAAGGCGACUAUCUGGACAGCAACUGACACUGAGGCACGAAAGCGUGGGGAGCAAACAGGAUUAGAUACCCUUGUAGUC